GCGGCGUGCCUAAUACAUGCAAGUAGAACGCUGAAGGAGGAGCUUGUUUCUCUGGAUGAGUUGCGAACGGGUGAGUAACGCGUAGGUAACCUGCCUGGUAGCGGGGGAUAACUAUUGGAAACGAUAGCUAAUACCGCAUAAAAGUAGAUGUUGCAUGACAUUUGCUUAAAAGGUGCAAUUGCAUCACUACCAGAUGGACCUGCGUUGUAUUAGCUAGUUGGUGGGGUAACGGCUCACCAAGGCGACGAUACAUAGCCGACCUGAGAGGGUGAUCGGCCACACUGGGACUGAGACACGGCCCAGACUCCUACGGGAGGCAGCAGUAGGGAAUCUUCGGCAAUGGACGGAAGUCUGACCGAGCAACGCCGCGUGAGUGAAGAAGGUUUUCGGAUCGUAAAGCUCUGUUGUAAGAGAAGAACGAGUGUGAGAGUGGAAAGUUCACACUGUGACGUAUCUACCAGAAAGGACG
rnacentral:rRNA from 1 species